GACGAACGCUGGCGGCGUGCUUAACACAUGCAAGUCGAACGGAAAGGCCCUGCUUUUGUGGGGUGCUCGAGUGGCGAACGGGUGAGUAACACGUGAGUAACCUGCCCUUGACUUUGGGAUAACUUCAGGAAACUGGGGCUAAUACCGGAUAGGAGCUCCUGCUGCAUGGUGGGGGUUGGAAAGUUUCGGCGGUUGGGGAUGGACUCGCGGCUUAUCAGCUUGUUGGUGGGGUAGUGUCUUACCAAGGCUUUGACGGGUAGCCGGCCUGAGAGGGUGACCGGCCACAUUGGGACUGAGAUACGGCACAGACUCCUACGGGAGGCAGCAGUGGGGAAUAUUGCACAAUGGGCGGAAGCCUGAUGCAGCAACGCCGCGUGCGGGAUGACGGCCUUCGGGUUGUAAACCGCUUUCGCCUGUGACGAAGCGUGAGUGACGGUAAUGGGUAAAGAAGCACCGGCUAACUACGUG
rnacentral:rRNA from 1 species